rnacentral:misc_RNA from 1 species
CGCACAUUGCGCCCUCUGGUAUUCCGGGGGGCAUGCCUGUUCGAGCGUCGUUAUCACAACUCGAGCCACCCCUUUGGGGGACGGCACGGUCUUGGGAGGUCGCUUCGCCCCCGGCGAGCAGCGCCCCCGAAAAUCAGCGGCGGUUCGGCGAGAAUCCCAGCGCAGUACGAAUCUUUUUAUUCUCGCUGAUGGAACCUCUCCCCGGCUUGCCGAUCAACCCACCAUUGCCCGGGUCAGUGGCAUGGCAGCAACCGAUCGACCUCGGAUCAGGCAGGAUUACCCGCUGAACUUAA